AUGAUUACAGUAAGAGAAGUCAAGAAAGAUGAAAGUCUAAAAUAAGCUGAGGCGAGCAAAAAAAGAAAAAGAGAGUAGAACAGGAGGUCUCAGCAGCACAGCGGAACAGCAUUUAGAGGAAUAAGGGCAUUGGCAAGUGACAAGAGGCCCAGGAGCCUUUAAGGGGCAUCAUGAGUGAGCUCACAGUUUCGUGUAGAGUGCAGCAGCAAAUGAAUUAUGUACCCAGGCAACUUGCAAAUGAGAUUCUGCAGUCAUUACUGGUUGAAAUUGGAAGAAUCUCAGAGAAUGGAAGAUGAGCUGAAAAAGAAAUGCUGGAACACAUUAAGACUCAAUGGUGGGAGAAAAUCAUCAGCAGAGCGUGCUGGAACCGUGGUUUCCUGGGGACCACUCUUCCUCAGGAGCGGACCCAGUGUUCUCAGCGAAGGCCCAUCAGGAAACAAAGCAGCCCUGCAUUCAGCUGGGAAAGGUG